AGGUGGGGGACAACCUUGGGAAACUGAGGCUAAUACCGCAUAUGAGCUGAGGCUCAAAGCAGCGAUGCGCCUUUGGAGUAGCCUGCGUCCGAUUAGCUAGUUGGUGGGGUAAAGGCCUACCAAGGCGACGAUCGGUAGCUGGUCUGAGAGGACGACCAGCCACACUGGGACUGAGACACGGCCCAGACUCCUACGGGAGGCAGCAGUGGGGAAUAUUGGACAAUGGGCGCAAGCCUGAUCCAGCAAUGCCGCGUGUGUGAAGAAGGUCUUCGGAUCGUAAAGCACUUUCGACGGGGACGAUGAUGACGGUACCCGUAGAAGAAGCCCCGGCUAACUUCGUGCCAGCAGCCGCGGUAAUACGAAGGGGGCUAGCGUUACUCGGAAUUACUGGGCGUAAAGGGCGCGUAGGCGGCGCUCCAAGUUAGGCGUGAAAGUCCUGGGCUCAACCUGGGAACUGCGCUUAAGACUGGAGUGCUUGAGGAUGGAAGAGGGUCGUGGAAUUCCCAGUGUAGAGGUGAAAUUCGUAGAUAUUGGGAAGAACACCGGUGGCGAAGGCGGCGACCUGGUCCAUUACUGACGCUGAGGCGCGACAGCGUGG
rnacentral:rRNA from 1 species